rnacentral:sRNA from 1 species
AUUGGAAAGAAGACUGAUGAAGAAAAAUAACAGCAUGAUUCAGGCACACCAUUGAGUUCUUUGGGAUGCCCAAAAGUGUCUGGUUGGGAAACAUGAAAUAGAAGACAAGAACCUGCCUCAGCAAGCGUACCUGAGAAUACUUUUAAAGGAACCUGUUGAUAAAUGCAAAACAGUAGCUGUUGCAGCCUUUAAUUUUUAUCUCCUCAACAAUGUAUCAUCAAGAUCAGGGGCACCCAUUAUUUCAUAUCCUGUGACCUUUGGUGGAUGUCUGGCUUUGGAUGCACUGGCUCUCUUUGUAAGGCACAGCCUGUGUUAUUGUCAUAUGUCACCGUGAUCCUUUAGGAUUUUUGUAGUCUUUUUUUUUUUUCCAUCUACCAAUGAAGAACACUACAAAUGUA